AAACCCUUUCGACGAGUCGAGUUGUUUGGGAAUGCUGCUCUAAACGGGUGGUAAAUUUCAUCUAAAGCAAAUACCUGCCAGAGACCGAUAGCGCACAAGUAGAGUGAUCGAAAGAUGAAAAGCACUUUGAAAAGAGAGUCAAACAGUACGUGAAAUUUUGAAAGGGUUUAAAAUGCAAUCAGACUCGUUUGCAGAAGCUCAGCUUUCCUACGGGAUGGUGUAUUCUUCUGUCAACGG
rnacentral:rRNA from 1 species